GUCCGCGCUGUAAACGAUGAACACUAGGUGUUGUGGGUAUUGACCCCUACAGUGCCGACGCUAACGCAUUAAGUGUUCCGCCUGGGGACUACGGCCGCAAGGCUAAAACUCAAAGGAAUUGACGGGGGCCCCGCACAAGCGGUGGAGUAUGUGGUUUAAUUCGACGCAACGCGCAGAACCUUACCCGGUCUUGACAUCGAGGGAAAGGCUCUAGAAAUAGAGUCCCCCACCUUCGGGUGGCCCAAAGACAGGUGCUGCAUGGCUGUCGU
rnacentral:rRNA from 1 species